rnacentral:rRNA from 1 species
UACGGAGGGGGCUAGCGUUGUUCGGAAUUACUGGGCGUAAAGCGCGCGUAGGCGGACCUGCAAGUCGGGGGUGAAAGCCCGAGGCUCAACCUCGGAACUGCCUUCGAUACUGCGGGUCUCGAGUCCGGGAGAGGUGAGUGGAAUUCCUAGUGUAGAGGUGAAAUUCGUAGAUAUUAGGAAGAACAUCAGUGGCGAAGGCGGCUCACCGGCCCGGUACUGACGCUGAGGCGCGAAAGCGUGGGGAGCAAACAGG